CCAAGCAGCCAAACGUCCUUGUCAAAGCCUGAUCUCGUCUGCUCUCUGAGGCUAAGCGGGGCUGGGCCUGGAUAGUAGUUGGAUGGGAGCCCGCUGGGAAUGUCAAGAGCCACAGGGG
rnacentral:rRNA from 1 species